UAAGCAUAUCAAUAAGCGGAGGAAAAGAAACCAACAGGGAUUGCCUCAGUAACGGCGAGUGAAGCGGCAACAGCUCAAAUUUGAAAUCUGGCCCCAGGCCCGAGUUGUAAUUUGCAGAGGAUGCUUUUGGCGCGGUGCCUUCCGAGUUCCCUGGAACGGGACGCCAUAGAGGGUGAGAGCCCCGUCUGGUUGGACACCAAGCCUCUGUAAAGCUCCUUCGACGAGUCGAGUAGUUUGGGAAUGCUGCUCAAAAUGGGAGGUAUAUGUCUUCUAAAGCUAAAUACCGGCCAGAGACCGAUAGCGCACAAGUAGAGUGAUCGAAAGAUGAAAAGCACUUUGAAAAGAGAGUUAAAUAGCACGUGAAAUUGUUAAAAGGGAAGCGUUUAUGACCAGACUUGGGCCGGUUAAUCAUCCAGCGUUCUCGCUGGUGCACUUUGCCGGUCCAGGCCAGCAUCAGUUCGUCGCGGGGGAUAAAGGCGUCGGGAAUGUGGCUCCUCGGAGUGUUAUAGCCCUUCGCGCAAUACCCUGCGGUGGACUGAGGUUCGCGCUCUGCAAGGAUGCUGGCGUAAUGGUCAUCAACGACCCGUCUUGAAACACGGACCAAGGAGUCGUCUUCGUAUGCGAGUGUUCGGGUGUAAAACCCCUACGCGUAAUGAAAGUGAACGCAGGUGAGAGCUUCGGCGCAUCAUCGACCGAUCCUGAUGUUCUCGGAUGGAUUUGAGUAAGAGCAUACGGGGCCGGACCCGAAAGAAGGUGAACUAUGCCUGUAUAGGGUGAAGCCAGAGGAAACUCUGGUGGAGGCUCGCAGCGGUUCUGACGUGCAAAUCGAUCGUCAAAUAUGGGCAUGGGGGCGAAAGACUAAUCGAAC
rnacentral:rRNA from 1 species